UACUCCUACGGGAGGCAGCAGUGGGGAAUAUUGGACAAUGGGGGCAACCCUGAUCCAGCAAUGCCGCGUGAGUGAUGAAGGCCUUAGGGUUGUAAAGCUCUUUCGCACGCGACGAUGAUGACGGUAGCGUGAGAAGAAGCACCGGCUAACUACGUG
rnacentral:rRNA from 1 species